rnacentral:lncRNA from 1 species
AUAAAAGAUACAAAAAAGUCUCCACAUACUUAUCACUCUAUGUUGCCUUUACUUUUCUCUAUCUCAUCAGGAGUCAACAAAGGAAACUGCUGUUUUCCAGAUGGAGUACCCAAUCUAUUCCCAAGCCAUACUUCUCACAAAUGGUCUGACAACUGUAAAGACAACCCUGGAGGGCAAUUCCCAUCCUCUAUUGCAAUACUUCUGAAGCCCUGUCAAAAAAAAGGAUAUAGCACCUGUCCUGAGAACAUGACAACUCUAUUCCUGGUAAGGACUACGCAUUUCCCUAUUUUCUUACAACAAAGACUACCAAAGUAUAGUAGUCCGCACUUAUCCGCAGUUUUGCUUCCGGCAGUUUCGUUACCUGCCAUCAAUCUCAGACUGCAAGCAUCUUACCGUCCUUCUGACGAAUCAUCAGAUGGUCAAUUAGUAGCCCGACUCUACAUCACAAUGCCUACGUCAUUCUGCCUCAAGUUACCUCAUCACGUAGGCAUUUUAUCAUCUUACAGCGUCACAAGGAGAAGGGUGAGUACAGUGCAGUAAGAUAUUUUGAAAGAUAUAAUAGUCAUGUAACUUUUAGCACGGUGUACUAUUACAAUUGUUUUAUUUGUAAUUAAUUUAUUGGUGUUAAUCUUUUACUGUGCCUAAUUUAUAAGUUGACUUUUAUCAUCGGCAUGUAUGUAUAGGAAAAUACAGGGUUCUUUACUAUGUGUGGUCACAGGCAUUCAUUGAAGGUUUUGCAACAUACCUCCUGCAGCGAAGGGGGUGCUACUCUAUUAGGCAGG